rnacentral:misc_RNA from 1 species
UGUUUUGCUUUACUAUUUAUGCUUGGUAUAUAUAAAGGACUGCCAUUGCUGCUUUACGCACAAUGCUCCCCCCAGUCUUGUCUUGUUUUGUGUCAGGACACAUACCUCUGGCAGGCCGCCGGGCGCUGGAUAGCCCGGCUCUUUGGAAGCAUGCAGUGCUUCGCCCUACCAGAGCAACGGAAUACAGGUUCACAUGGGCCUAGAGUAGUGUGUACUCAAUAAUGAUCCCUCCGCUGGUUCACCAACGGAGA